GGGAAAGCAGACUAAAGAUGAGAGUGCUUUUCAUUAUGGCCAACAGUGUGUAGUGGGUUAGACAUAAAUCUGGUGAUAUGAAUGAAGUGUGUGUCAUUAGAUUUAUAUUAUAAAUAUAUAGUUAUAUUAUUUAUAUAUAAUGCUAUAUGUAGUUUUGGUUGCAGUGCCUCAUUUUGCAGGAGAUAUGAGGUAUUUUGUGGUUUUGUUAAAGGGACACUUCACCCAUUUGCAUUAAGCUUUGUAUCAUUAGUCAUAUUUUUGAAUGGUCGUGCAUCAUUCCCUCACUUUCCCUGAGAGGGAGAAAUAAGGAUGUUAGUGUGUCACUUCCUGCUUCCAAUGAUGUAAAAAUCGUUAUUCUACGUCAUUGGAAGCAGGAAGUCUGAUAUCUCUGUAGAGGGGGUGAGACUACAAACACUACUUCCUCAUUUUUGUUUCACUCACGCUACAGACCUAUUACAGAUCAGUGGGUGGGACUAAAAAAUAUAACCGCCAUCUUGUUUGGAAGCUAAGCGGAGGCACUGUGGAGCCAGACGUUACGACUGUGGUAAUCAAUGUAAUAUGGAAGACAUUUCAAAAGUGUGAUGGUGGAAUCAGAUGUUCGUGGCUACCUUUAUGAGCCGAUAUAUAGCGAGCAGCGUCUGAGGCUGCUGCAGCCGAGGCAGAGGACCUGCCUGUCGCGGACGAGGAGCCCGGACUGGCUCGAGCUGGGGCGGACUGCUGGUGCCUGUGCUCUCGCUGUGCGCCUACGGACACACGGACGUCUGACUGUAAAACAAUAUCGCCUAACAGCCUUUCUGGAAUGGGUCCUGCAAGGCGAGAGAUUGGGUCGAGGCGCUGUUUUACCCGCUGAUGUGGUGCAGGCUCUCCGACAGUAUCCAGCUCCAGAUGGCCAGUACUGCGGCACCGAGACGUUGAGGACGCUCAGGAGGAACUACAACUGUCAUUGUUUACAUAUUUAUUGUUGUUGUUGUUGAUAUAUUUCUGUAAAUAAAUGGUUUACAUUCACGUUGUUGUAGUCUUUGAUAGUGUUACUGGGAGCGGCUUGCGGAGCUGUGCAUUGUGGGAGUUGUUGUCUUUAAUACAAAUGCGCCCUAAAGUCACUUUCUGUCUUUUCUCGGUCAAAUAGGCACCAAACUCAAAAUGUAUGUUACAUUUCGACUACAUAUAUAACCCACUUUCAAUAAAUAUUAAUGUUUCCACGGGUGAAAUGCUCCUUUAAUUGUGUUUAGUAUUUUGAUGAAACCAGCCUAGUUUGCAAAAUUGUGUUUCAGCAAUUGGAAAAAACUGUAAUAAACCCUCAUUGGGACUUUUCCUGUUCAGGAUCAACUGUGUCAAACAGUUGUGAAGGUUUUAUGGUCGUGUUGUUGUUUACGGACUCAGUGGAUGAGCUGACUGCAGACAGGUGAUCAGGACAGAAGCCACGCAGGUAAACUGGAGGCUUCACAGUGUAUUUUAAAGCAGUGGUUCUAAAACUGGGGGUCAAACAAAUCUUAAUAUGGUUGAAAUACUGCACAUAUUGAAGUUCACUAAAACAACUGAGCUGCUUCAACAACUCUGAGUCGGUUUCAUUCAUGAGUGACUGCAGAUUGUUGGAGGAUUCAUUGUUAUUGAGUUAAUAUAGAAAAAGGUUUGUCAGUGUAAAUACUGGAACAGACACAUUCACUGUGUCUACACAACCGCAGCCUAUUAAUGCAUGCUAAUGCAUGCUAAUGCAUGCUAAUGAUUUUGGUUUUACAGACAGUUCACUGAGUCAGUCUGAACACUUCAAUAUACUUUUCCCUAAAGAGGCCCGAGACUCUGAGGACUGUGAUCAAACACACCAGUGCUGCUGGUAAUGUUCCCUUUUACCAAAAUUAUGAAAAUCUGCAUUUUGUGGAUUAAAAAUAACUCAACUCACCCGGAGACAGUUAUAUAAGAACAGAAUCAACGCCCUGUAACCAGAGGAGGGCGGACCACCUCCUCCAGCCUCCGCUCUGAGUGGGAGUCCGUGAAACUGCUGUACGCAUUUUCAAAUGUAGCCGUUAGCUUAGCUACAAACAGGCAGCACACAGAAGCUUUCUAGUGACUGUAAAAGCUCCAGCGGACUCUCUGAGCCCCCUACAGUCCCCGUCCUCUGCAGGUCUCUGAGGGGUUUUACAGAGAGCGGCG
rnacentral:lncRNA from 15 species